GACGAACGCUGGCGGCGUGCUUAACACAUGCAAGUCGAACGCUGAAGCUUGGUGCUUGCACUGGGUGGAUGAGUGGCGAACGGGUGAGUAAUACGUGAGUAACCUGCCCUUGACUCUGGGAUAAGCCUGGGAAACUGGGUCUAAUACUGGAUACGACAUGCCACUGCAUGGUGGUGUGUGGAAAGGGUUUUACUGGUUUUGGAUGGGCUCACGGCCUAUCAGCUUGUUGGUGGGGUAAUGGCCUACCAAGGCGACGACGGGUAGCCGGCCUGAGAGGGUGACCGGCCACACUGGGACUGAGACACGGCCCAGACUCCUACGGGAGGCAGCAGUGGGGAAUAUCGCACAAUGGGCGGAAGCCUGAUGCAGCGACGCCGCGUGAGGGAUGACGGCCUUCGGGUUGUAAACCUCUUUCAGCACGGAAGAAGCGAGAGUGACGGUACGUGCAGAAGAAGCGCCGGCUAACUACGUG
rnacentral:rRNA from 1 species